rnacentral:lncRNA from 1 species
CGCAUACUGCCUGCUUCGUUCCUUGGUCGUGCACUCUUGCAUGACCCGAAGUCCUUCACUUUCGGCUAUCUUGAUGAGAAGCUCAUUGACACCGGUCUUUCGAAGUUCCUUGGCCUCUGCCCUUCAGCCUUGUCUCGGUACUUAGAGUUUGCCUCUGCAUGCUCCACCUCCUCGGCCCCUUUCACGACCAAGCGCUCUCCCUCCAUGAGAGCAAGGGAUCAA